GAUGAACGCUGGCGGCGUGCCUAAUACAUGCAAGUCGAGCGAACAGAUGAGGAGCUUGCUCCUCUGACGUUAGCGGCGGACGGGUGAGUAACACGUGGAUAACCUACCUAUAAGACUGGGAUAACUUCGGGAAACCGGAGCUAAUACCGGAUAAUAUAUUGAACCGCAUGGUUCAAUAGUGAAAGACGGUUUUGCUGUCACUUAUAGAUGGAUCCGCGCCGCAUUAGCUAGUUGGUAAGGUAACGGCUUACCAAGGCGACGAUGCGUAGCCGACCUGAGAGGGAGAUCGGCCACACUGGAACUGAGACACGGUCCAGACUCCUACGGGAGGCAGCAGUAGGGAAUCUUCCGCAAAGGGCGAAAGCUUGACGGAGCAACGCCGCGUGAGUGAUGAAGGUCUUCGGAUCGUAAAACUCUGUUAUUAGGGAAGAACAAAUGUGUAAGUAACUAUGCACGUCUUGACGGUACCUAAUCAGAAAGCCACGGCUAACUACGUG
rnacentral:rRNA from 1 species